UUGUCAGGGUCUGUGUUUUUUCUGAUUUGUUUUUUGUUUCUUUUCCCUUUUUGUUUUGAGUUACUUUCCUGGAGCACCUGCUACUUCCCGUGGCAUCCACCAGAUGCCGCCAGUGUACAGAGCCCCUGGAGAGAUGCGGAGCCAACCCCGUAGACGCACCUGCAGCUCGUUUUGAAGGCGCGGUCUGGGUGUAUAUAAGCAGCGGCUGAACGACUUCUCAUCGCCUGAGUGUUUGCUUACUUUGGUGAACCCGCUGUCUCCUCGUUGUUUCCCCGAGUGUGCCCUCUGUCCCGGGAUUCUGAGUGAGCUGAAGCCACCCGUUGUUUGUGAGUUUCCUCCCUUGUGUGUCUCCCCACGACGCCGUUGGUUGUACCAGCUGGACGCCAUUCCCCAUGUGCUCGCCUUCCCCCCCACCCCCGUCUUCGGUCCGUCUCCAGUGGACUCCCCUUCACCACAGGUUAUACCUGCCUGUGCCYGAAACCAUCUGGAGAUUYGUUACAACUGAACCUAGUCGGACUCCGCUCCUUCCGCUGUAUACAAACCUGUCCGCCCUCCAAUGAAGCCCUCUUAUCCAGUGCUCUGCCAGCAACCACACUCAUCCACUCCAAUCAGACGAUCCGGUCAUCUGUUCCAGAACUCAUUCCCUUUCCCCUGGAUUCAAUAAACUUAUUAUUGUUCRUUUA